rnacentral:rRNA from 1 species
UGGGGAAUUUUGGACAAUGGGCGCAAGCCUGAUCCAGCCAUGCCGCGUGCGGGAAGAAGGCCUUCGGUUGUAACCGCUUUUGUCAGGGAAGAAAUCUUCUGAGUUAAUACCUCGGGAGGAUGACGGUACCUGAAGAAUAAGCACCGGCUAACUACGUGCCAGCAGCCGCGGUAAUACGUAGGGUGCAAGCGUUAAUCGGAAUACUGGGCGUAAAGCGUGCGCAGGCGGUUUUGUAAGACAGAGGUGAAAUCCCCGGGCUCAACCUGGGAACUGCCUUUGUGACUGCAAGGCUUGAGUGCGGCAGAGGGGGAUGGAAUUCCGCGUGUAGCAGUGAAAUGCGUAGAUAUGCGGAGGAACACCGAUGGCGAAGGCAAUCCCCUGGGCCUGCACUGACGCUCAUGCNCGAAAGCGUGGGGAGCAAACAGGAUUAGAUCCCUGGUAGUCCACGCCCUAAACGAUGUCAACUGGUUGUUGGGAGGGUUCCUUCUCAGUAACGUAGCUAACGCGUGAAGUUG